UACAGAGGUCUCAGGCGUUGUUCGGAUUCAUUGGGCGUAAAGGGUGCGUAGGUGGCGCCGUAAGUCAGGUGUGAAAUUUCGGAGCUUAACUCCGAAACUGCAUUUGAUACUGCGGUGCUUGAGGACUGGAGAGGAGACUGGAAUUCACGGUGUAGCAGUGAAAUGCGUAGAUAUCGUGAGGAAGACCAGUGGCGAAGGCGGGUCUCUGGACAGUUCCUGACACUGAGGCACGAAGGCCAGGGGAGCAAACGGG
rnacentral:rRNA from 1 species